rnacentral:hammerhead_ribozyme from 1 species
GCACUGCCGAGGAGUCCCACAAUAGGACGAGACGGCUGUCUAGUGC